rnacentral:rRNA from 1 species
CCCUUAGAUGUUCUGGGCCGCACGCGCGCUACACUGACGAAGUCAGCGAGCAUGUCCUACGCCGACAGGUGCGGGGAAUCUUGUCAAACUUCGUCGUGAUGGGGAUUGAUUAUUGAAAUUCUUGAUCAUCAACGAGGAAUUCCUAGUAAGCGCAAGUCAGCAGCUUGCGUUGAUUACGUCCCUGCCCUUUGUACACACCGCCCGUCGCUACUACCGAUUGUAUGGUUUAGUGAGAUCUUCGGAUUGGCGCCACUGCGGCUCAGCAAUGGGCUCGGUGGAUGCCGAAAAGUUGAUCAAACUUGAUCAUUUAGAGGAAGUAAAAGUCGUAACA